CAUGCCUGCUGUCCCUUCCCUGCCUUUGUCUGGUUCCAGCCAAUGUAAAUAUAUUCUGAAGAAAUUUCUGAAGGGACUGCUGAGGUUUCCACAUUCAUCCUGUGGCACCGACCCUGCCUCCCCGCCAUCCAAGAAGUCCCUGGGUGCUGCCCAGGUGGCCCGAGUAAAGGAAGGAGGGCUGCUCAGUUCCCUCGUUGGAGGAAGAGGAAAACAGAAUUAAGAGACAGGGAGCCACCUUGACAGUUCCUUCUGAGGUGGGGUUUCUUAACAAGGGGCAAAGAAAAUCCGUGAUGGAAUUAAACAAAAAAUUAAGGGAAGAAGAAAAAAGGAGGACAUCUCCAAAUGUUUGGAGAUCAAGCAAUAUGGUUCGAAUUCCUAAGUAACACAUGGAUGGACGAAGAAAUCUCAUGGAAAUUAGAAAACAUCUUGAACCAAAUGAUAAUGAAGGUAUGACAGAUCAAAACUGUGGGACGCUGUGAAAACUGAACCCAGAGGGAAAUUUAAAGAGCGUGUCAUACUUGAGCUGCAAAUAAUUUAGGUGACAGUGUGCAUAAAAUUGAAUGCCAUGCUGCCUCUUGAAAUCACAUUUCUAGUGCUUCCAGUGGUUCAUUUUCCCUGUGCCUAAACUAUGUUGGUUACAUUAGAGACUGUAUUAAAGAUGGCAUGCUGGCUUUUGAGAAUGUAAU